UGGGGAAUAUUGCACAAUGGGCGCAAGCCUGAUGCAGCCAUGCCGCGUGUGUGAAGAAGGCCUUCGGGUUGUAAAGCACUUUCAGCGGGGAGGAAGGCGAUAAGGUUAAUAACCUUGUCGAUUGACGUUACCCGCAGAAGAAGCACCGGCUAACACCGUGCCAGCAGCCGCGGUAAUACGGAGGGUGCAAGCGUUAAUCGGAAUUACUGGGCGUAAAGCGCACGCAGGCGGUCUGUCAAGUCGGAUGUGAAAUCCCCGGGCUUAACCUGGGAACUGCAUUCGAAACUGGCAGGCUAGAGUCUUGUAGAGGGGGGUAGAAUUCCAGGUGUAGCGGUGAAAUGCGUAGAGAUCUGGAGGAAUACCGGUGGCGAAGGCGGCCCCCUGGACAAAGACUGACGCUCAGGUGCGAAAGCGUGGGGAGCAAACAGG
rnacentral:rRNA from 1 species